rnacentral:rRNA from 1 species
CUACUCUCAGUUCGGAUUGUAGGCUGAGACUCGCCUACAUGAAGCUGGAGUUACUAGUAAUCGCAGAUCAGAAUGCUGCGGUGAAUACGUACCCGGGUCUUGUACACACCGCCCGUCACACCACGGGCGUUGGAGACGCCCGAAGCCGAAUAUCUAACCGUUUGGAAGAAGUCGUCGAGGGAGGAAUCAAUAAGGGGGGUGAAGUCGUAACAAGGUUCCUAUCGGAAGGUGCGGCUGGAUCACCUCCUUUCUAAGGAGA